rnacentral:rRNA from 1 species
UACGUAGGAGGCGAGCGUUGUCCGGAGUUACUGGGCGUAAAGGGUGCGCAGGCGGCGGUUCGCGUGGCGAGAUGAAAUCUCCUGGCUUACCUGGGAGGAUGGUCGCCAGACGGGAUCGCUUGAGGGUCGGAGGAGGGGCGUGGAAUUCCGGGUGGAGCGGUGAAAUGCGCAGAUAUCAGGAGGAACACCGAUGGCGAAGGCAGGUCUCUGGGCCACUACUGACGCUGAGAAGCGAAAAGCAUGGGGGAGCGAACAGG